rnacentral:lncRNA from 1 species
UAAAAUUGAAUCAAAUAACUUAUUGAAAAUAAUUGUUUGUAAAUAAAUAAAUUGAAAUCAUUAAUUCAAAAUUGUUUUUAAUAAACUCCUUAGAAAUUUCUUGAAAAAGUAAUUUUUUGAAAUAUUCUUUUUUUAAUCAGUUUAAUAAAUCAAUAUGCUUAAUUCUUUUGUCUUUUACCUUGUGCAUUCUUAUAAAUACUUUUAUGAUUAUUUUCCUAUACAUUAAUUUGUAUCCUUAAUCUUAAUAUCCAUGAUUAAUUAAUUAAUUAAUUGUCAUAAUUUCUUCAAUUCAUUUAGUAGAAACUAUAGGUAUACGGGCUUAGAGGGGUACUACGACUUUUCAUUGUACUUUCCUGAUAGGUAAUUUAAUCCCCAAAUCUAAACUCGGUUUUUGGACACAUGUUUUUUUUUUUUUUAAAAAAAAAAAAGUCACAUAGGGUUUUCUUAUUUAGUUUUCCCUUUUAAAAAUAAACUAAAAUAAGUAGUGACUCAAACUUGUUCAAAAAUCAAAUUUUCACAAAUAAAAAAUGAGUCUCACCGUUUCGAGUGGGAAUGCAAGUAAAAAAUGUGGGUUCACACACGGUAAUGUAUUUACAAAUUGAAAUUAUAAGAGUGCUCAGGAAGUGAUCAGACUAUGUUCAAGGUUCAAGAUAUGGGUCAUGACUAAACCAUUUGAGUGCAGUUGAAUCUCUUGAUGAAGAGAUAGAAAAGUUGCAAUAAAAGAUCACAAAGUUACAGGAGUUUAAAACUACAAUUACCACUGCGUUGGUGGUGUUGAAGACAAUGAUAUAGAGUUUUAAGCCACAACAUUAUUAGCUUUCCAAGAUGAAAUAAUUUUAUCUCCAAUUGUAAUUAAAGCAUUUGAAGACAAAAUUUGUUUGUUAUCGAAACUGUCUAUCAAUAUUUUGGGACAAAAACAUUUCCUUCCCAAAUGUAAGUGGAAAUAUUUAGAGGCAAAAUUAUUUUGUUUCAAAAAUUGUUCAUCAACAUAAUGGAGAUGAAAAUAUUUUGCCCCC